CAGGUUUACCUGUGUGACUGCGUACCUUUUGUAUAAUGGGUCAGCGACUUAUAUUCUGUAGCAAGGUUAACCGAAUAGGGGAGCCGGAGGGAAACCGAGUCUUAACCGGGCGUUAAGUUGCAGGGUAUAGACCCGAAACCCGGUGAUCUAGCCAUGGGCAGGUUGAAGGUUGGGUAACACUAACUGGAGGACCGAACCGACUAAUGUUGAAAAAUUAGCGGAUGACCUGUGGCUGGGGGUGAAAGGCCAAUCAAACCGGGAGAUAGCUGGUUCUCCCCGAAAGCUAUUUAGGUAGCGCCUCGUGAAUUCAUCUCCGGGGGUAGAGCACUGUUUCGGCUAGGGGGCCAUCCCGGCUUACCAACCCGAUGCAAACUGCGAAUACCGGAGAAUGUUAUCACGGGAGACACACGGCGGGUGCUAACGUCCGUCGUGAAGAGGGAAACAACCCAGACCGCCAGCUAAGGUCCCAAAGUCAUGGUUAAGUGGGAAACGAUGUGGGAAGGCCCAGACAGCCAGGAUGUUGGCUUAGAAGCAGCCAUCAUUUAAAGAAAGCGUAAUAGCUCACUGGUCGAGUCGGCCUGCGCGGAAGAUGUAACGGGGCUAAACCAUGCACCGAAGCUGCGGCAGCGAACGUAUCACUUAAAGCGAUUCAGCGGGUUACGAUUGACGGAGCGAAGCGACGUCAAAGCGUAUACAAAGUCGAGUCGGUUUAAGGAUACGUUCGUUGGGUAGGGGAGCGUUCUGUAAGCCGUUGAAGGUGGCCUGUGAGGGUUGCUGGAGGUAUCAGAAGUGCGAAUGCUGACAUAAGUAACGAUAAAGCGGGUGAAAAGCCCGCUCGCCGGAAGACCAAGGGUUCCUGUCCAACGUUAAUCGGGGCAGGGUGAGUCGACCCCUAAGGCGAGGCCGAAAGGCGUAGUCGAUGGGAAACGGGUUAAUAUUCCCGUACUUGGUGUUACUGCGAAGGGGGGACGGAGAAGGCUAUGUUGGCCGGGCGACGGUUGUCCCGGUUUAAGCGUGUAGGUGUGUGUUCCAGGUAAAUCCGGUUCACUUUAACACUGAGGCGUGAUGACGAGGCACUACGGUGCUGAAGCAACAAAUGCCCUGCUUCCAGGAAAAGCCUCUAAGCAUCAGGUAACAUCAAAUCGUACCCCAAACCGACACAGGUGGUCAGGUAGAGAAUACCAAGGCGCUUGAGAGAACUCGGGUGAAGGAACUAGGCAAAAUGGUGCCGUAACU
rnacentral:rRNA from 1 species